rnacentral:rRNA from 1 species
AAAUUGAAGAGUUUGAUCAUGGCUCAGAUUGAACGCUGGCGGCAGGCCUAACACAUGCAAGUCGAACGGUAACAGGAAACAGCUUGCUGUUUCGCUGACGAGUGGCGGACGGGUGAGUAAUGUCUGGGAAACUGCCUGAUGGAGGGGGAUAACUACUGGAAACGGUAGCUAAUACCGCAUAAUGUCGCAAGACUAAAGAGGG